UACGAGGGGGGCAAGCGUUGUUCGGAAUUAUUGGGCGUAAAGGGCGCGUAGGCGGCAUGCCAAGCGUGUGGUGAAAGCCCGGGGCUCAACCCCGGGUCGGCCGUGCGGACUGGCGUGCUCGAGCACUGUAGGGGCGGGUGGAAUUCCGGGUGUAGCGGUGAAAUGCGUAGAUAUCCGGAGGAACACCGGUGGCGAAGGCGGCAUCCUGGACCGGCAUUGACGCUGAGGCGCGAAAGCGUGGGGAGCAAACAGG
rnacentral:rRNA from 1 species